rnacentral:rRNA from 1 species
UACGGAGGAUGCGAGCGUUAUCCGGAUUUAUUGGGUUUAAAGGGUGCGUAGGCGGGCUGUUAAGUCAGCGGUCAAAUGUCGGGGCUCAACCCCGGCCUGCCGUUGAAACUGGCGGCCUCGAGUGGGCGAGAAGUAUGCGGAAUGCGUGGUGUAGCGGUGAAAUGCAUAGAUAUCACGCAGAACACCGAUAGCGAAGGCAGCUUACCAGACUGAGUCUGACGCUGAUGCACGAGAGCAUGGGUAGCGAACAGG